rnacentral:rRNA from 1 species
CGUAGGGUGCAAGCGUUAAUCGGAAUUGCUGGGCGUAAAGCGUGCGCAGGCGGUUAUGCAAGACAGAUGUGAAAUCCCCGGGCUCAACCUGGGAACUGCAUUUGUGACUGCAUGGCUAGAGUACGGUAGAGGGGGAUGGAAUUCCGCGUGUAGCAGUGAAAUGCGUAGAUAUGCGGAGGAACACCGAUGGCGAAGGCAAUCCCCUGGACCUGUACUGACGCUCAUGCACGAAAGCGUGGGGAGCAAACAGGAUUAGAUACCCUGGUAGUCCACGCCCUAAACGAUGUCAACUGGUUGUUGGGAGGGUUUCUUCUCAGUAACGUAGCUAACGCGUGAAGUUGACCGCCUGGGGAGUACGGCCGCAAGGUUG